UACAGAGGUCCCAAGCGUUUGUUCGGAUUCACUGGGCGUAAAGGGUGCGUAGGUGGCGGGGAAAGUUGCGUGUUAAAUCUCAAGGCUCAACCUUGAAACCGCUCGCAAUACUACUCUGCUAGAGGACUGUAGAGGAGAAUGGAAUUCACGGUGUAGCAGUGAAAUGCGUAGAUAUCGUGAGGAAGACCAGUGGCGAAGGCGAUUCUCUGGGCAGUUCCUGACACUGAGGCACGAAGGUCAGGGGAGCAAACGGG
rnacentral:rRNA from 1 species